UGUGGGACGAACCGGGCUUUAAAGAGGCAGUGAUCAGUUAAAACUAGAGCUGUGGCUUUUGUCUCAGUCCAUACCACAAAGAUAGACUGUCAACCCCAGCACAGAUUGCCGCUCAGCCGACAGCCAAGCAGUCGACAAGGAUAACAGAAGCAUCAUGAUAUUCGGAAAACAUCGGUGUUGUAUUUUUUUCUUCGUUAUAGAGAGAGAGGCAGGAAGAGGCAGGAAGAGACCGAGAGAGCGAGAGAGAGAGAGAGAGAGAGAAGGGUAAAGAGGGCGAGCAUUCAUGUGAUUCAGCUGGCGUGUCAUCUGAACACCGUGGUCUUUUUGGAGACCUCACAAAACGAACCGACACCAGGACAUCUGAUGGACAUCCAAGACGCCAACAACAAAACGUGUGAGUAUAUUCACAAUCAAAUGCUUGACUUGUACAUUUUAAAUAUCAGACACUAAAAGGCAGGAUACAAAUUCAUCAUGCACGAUAUUAUAUAAAGCAGGACGUAGUGUCUGCAGUCAAGAGUUAAUGCAUUAUGUUCUAAAAGUGUAUUUAUAAUUGAAUUAUUGACGUAUAUUGUAAUUGUAUUAAUGCAAGAUGUGUACUCUUAUUAAAAUACAUGCAGAUUUACAAGGAACGUGUCGAGGGUCGGGAGAGUUCAAGAUAUAAAGGAUGCUGGACUGAGCAACAGGUAGAACAGGGGCAGUGUUAUCAUCUUUGGAAAAGUGGUGGAUUUUAUUUUUCACUGUUGAGCUUUAUUUACUCUGCCUUGUGAUUAUUUAUUUUGUUGCUGUUGUUUUUGUCGUUUGUUUGUUUUCAGUUCUUUGCGCAGAUUGUACUGGUCUUUUUUUUUUGUUAAGAUAGCCUACUUACACAUGCACUCAAACACACACACAUACGCACGCACGCACGCACGCACACACACGUGUGCAUAUAUGUGAACGCGUGCGUGCGUGCGUGUGUGAAUACAUACAUAGGCUACAUACCUACAUAGAUCCAUACAUACAUACAGUGCAACUCAUGGGUGGGCUAUUCUUAUUUUCCAUGGACCCGAAAUUAUUUUAGUGAUUUAAAUUAUUUGCCUUUGUUUUUGUUAACUGUAGGCUAGUUUGUCCCUUUGCUUUCAGGCGUUCCAACAUAAUUUUGUUCUUGUCAAGAUGUGAUAUGCAAUGAUAGGCUAUUAUUGAUGAUAGGAAAUACACUUCACAAGGAAUGGUCGUGUGCGCGUUUUCGUGUUUACCGGAUGACUGUAAUCACACUUGAAAAACACUGUAUUACAGUUAUCAUCCACAGUAGCCAGCAAUGUCCGUAUCAGCGCGACUAUAUCUUCGUAUUUUUGCAUAAGAAAAUAUCGUGCAUUACCCCUUCUAUAAGGCAUCUGGCUUUUUUCCACACAAUGGAAGUAUUAACCGUGAGGUCAUUUAAUAAGGCAGUACUUGAGAAUUUUUCACGCCACAACGUGAGUUGUUGUCACGCGUAUAUGUGCGAACAGGCCUACUUGUUUGUCUAAAUCUGUUGGACAAAGCUAAGGAGAUUAUUAUAUAGUCAUGUUUUGAAGUAGGCCUGUAUUAUGCUGUGGAUCAUCACGUAAUUUGAGGUACGCUUUCGGGGUCAGCUCGCUUUUGCAUAGUUUGAAUUUUAUUAAAGCAUUAUCUUAUUAUGUUGCAUUUUAAAGGAAGUCCGGACUCUAGCCACUGGAGUAUGUGUUUGGUACUAAUAUCAAUUUUAUUUUCCAUGUUUACCCCCACCACAAUUUUGUGGUAACAUAUUGUCAACACUACGAAAGAGUAGGGAAACACGAUUUUGCCAAUAAAGUGCUCCUUUUUCAGCGCCCCCUGCAUUUAAGCUAUAUCUCAAUCACUUUCUCAUUCCAACUCAAGAAAUGUAAAAACAGGAUGUGUUUGAAGGAUAUGUGACACCAUUGUUUUUCGUCAAAAUUACGAAAGUGGUUAAGGUGUUGGCCAAGCACAUAUAUUAUAAUGUCAUCUUUGUCACUUUUAAAAUAACCGGUACCGCAACCGUUUCAGUACCCACAAGUGUGAACAGCUCCAAAUCCCAGAGAAACGAAAAUCCAGUUUCCGCGGUAAUUAUUUUAAGCCCCACGAUGGUAAUCUGCUGUUGGCCUAUAGUUGUCUGGAGAAUUUCAUUAGAUUACAUUAGAUUAAUGAUUUAUUUGGAACCAGAUACAAUAAUGAUCGUGCCCCCACCUACGCUGCCUUAAAACCCGAAGGAUCCACACAACUGAGAUCUACCCACCACGAAUAUCCUCGAAGCAAUAUUUUUAUCACACUGGUUUUGUGUUUACUGUUCACUUAUCCCAUUCCUUAUGUGAUCAGGUACGGGGAAAACAUGCACCUCAAUAUCUUGCAUCUGUGGCAACGUCAAGUGACAGUGUCAGUUUUCCUACAGCAGUCGACUUUGUGCGCGGCAUGUGGUAGCGUAACUGCGGCGGUAAGACGUUCAUUUGCAUUUCAGGGUCUGGGAUGUAUGUUUAAAUAAAAAUGACGUAUCUAGCUCAGAGAUGAUACCCAGAUAGUGAUAUUUUUACACAUUCUUGGUUGUGUUUACCUUCAAGUUUAGAUAAUAUCUGAAAUAAACAAAGACACAAAAAUUAUACCGGUGCCUUUACUACGAAAAUAGUAAAAGUUAAGUAAUAGUUUAUAUAGUUUUUGUGAUUAUUGUUUGUUUUCACGGUCCUCAGUAACAUUCGCUGUCUCAAGGUGAAAUGCUGGUAAAUUCAAAUUCGUUGCAGAAAGCGGUGAUAUUCUAUGAUGAACUGCAUUUUUGCUUUUUAAUAUUUGAAUACAGACAAUGUACAGAUUAUGGACAUUUGGAUUGUCAUUUGUAAUGCUUUAGCUGUCAUCAGUAUUAAUUGUUUUGAGUAUCUGGUCCUUUUGCUUUAUAUAAAUGUCCAUUAUAAUGAAUCACUUGGUUUUUGUAUGUCACUGCUGGAAACAGCCCUGUGUUCAUGCUGCUGAAGUCUUUAAAAAAUAUGUCUUAGUCGAGGAAAAUGUCAGAGAACUCUAGCUUCAUCCAAGUAAUGUCAGAUGUGUACCAUUAGUUGUAUGGGAAUUAUCACUUUACUGUAUGUAGGAAUAGCUCUACUUUGUAACAAUUCUUUUAACACAUAGGAUAAGGUUUGCUUAGUUUACUUCAGCUUAAGCUUCCCUUAGAACAAACACCUAUGUGCAAUUGCAUUCCUUUCUGCUAUGUUAAUAUAUUCUUCAUAUUAAUUUUCGCAUAUCCAUUUAUCUGAAUCUAUCCACUCUCAUGGAAAAUGGAGAAAGUAUGACAUGAUUUAAGAAAAAAAGGGGGCGGGGGAGUUCCCCUUUGCGCUUUUCAAUUCAGUGAGAGUGCUUUCACAGCUCAGACCAACAGCUAAUCAUAUAAAGCUGUUUCCAAAUUUAAAAAAGCAUGCAUUUGAUACAAACGUUGUGAUUAACUUUAAAUGUCCAUUAUUCUAAAGAGAAUCUACAAUUAUGCUUUUUGUAUUUAAUAUUCCAUUGGGCUGAAAAGUGGCAUCGUAAACUUGUUACAGAAACAAAUGGUAAUUACUAUCAUUGUUACUGAUAAAGGGAUGCCUUGCAUUUCUGUUUCAAUGAUUGUGUAGGUAAAGGUUAUAGGUUGUCUCUGAAGCAGUUUGGCUGCAUAACAACAUUCUGAAACUAUUCCAAAAAUGUAUAUUUACAAUCAUUUAGAACAGGUGUUCAAGCAGGGAGAUAUAUUUGUAUAUAUGCAAUUAUUGUAAUUAGAUACAGUUUGGUUACAGCCUCAUUAUAGCCAGAUACUAUUUUGCACUGGAUCGCAGUUAUAUACCUGAAAUAAGGAGUGUGGACUAUUCAAAGCUUUUUGAAAGAAAAAUAGCUGACUGAAUUUACAUGGCAAAGAUCAAGAGCAAAAUCUUGUAUCAGUGCAGAUCUAGAGUUCGUUCAAAAUUGCCUUAUUGUAACAAUGGCAUGAUUUAUUGUUCCAACAAACCUAUUGAUCAUAAAAAAAUUAAGCUGUGUCCAUUGUUCAGUUGUUUCUGGAUAUCACAAGGGCUGAAGUGCUACGAAAAAAAAACACCAAGAGAAUAUCUGAAUGUGUGGGAGGCUCAGCUGAAAAGCUCCAGAGCAGCAUGGUGUGAGUUUGUGUCUCACGCCUAACCUUGGCAAAGGCAAUCUGCUUUUGAAGGAGUAGCUCUUUUUGAAGACGGUGGUAGCACCGCAGGGCAUUUUGAGUAACAUCAAAACGUGACAGAGUAUGUGUAUUAAAAAAAAAGAGCCAUUUAGGGGUGCAUUUGAAGUGCAAUCACAAUCAGUGGCUGGGUGUGCUGAGGCCAGGCGGACCCUGGAAAUCAGCGGGGCACUGUGCCGCAGUGUUUGAUCUAGUCUUUCACACGGGCCCAGGGGUGAACGCAGCGCAUCGGAGAACAGAGGCGGCCAGGGCCAGGAGCCCCUGUGGAGUAUUAGGGGAGCGCGGGUCGUCACGUCUGUCCGGGGAGAAGCAAUGCUUCAGUGCAUCUGUUGACACUGCUCUCCAAAGAAACGAGUGGACGCUGACAGACGGACGGAUUGGGAUCGGCCCGACUUGAAUUCGGCGGUCUGUGAUGAAACGUACAUCUUAAGAGGAUGAGCCGGCCGGCCUCUGAUGAAAUAUGAACCCAGGCUGACCGUUUUUUCCAUAUCUCAUCCAGAUACCGUAUGUUUUGUUGUUCAGAAUUGUGCACCUGCUUGUGCGAAAGCAGGUGCUUUCCUUGAAGUGAGAUUUCACUUGAGACCAUGACUUCACCUGUGGAGGCUGACAUUAUCUCACCUAUCCUGCAUAUAGAGAAUAAUCAUUGAGCGAGAUUUGAUGUGAAUGGCAAAUACAGAGCAGCAUCAUAUAUCUCAUACAUAAUCUACAGUCAUACAUCAUUUGGAUGUUGAAGCGCAUGCAGGGAUGGUUACAUUUAUUGGUUUGAUUAUAAAAACAUUAUUAUAUUGACUGGCCUGAAUUAUGAAUUAACUAUACUUUCUUAUUAUGUAGCCACAGCAUGUGUACUUAUUGUGAUGAAUUGGAAUAUCUACAGAAAAUGGUCAUUAAGGUCAGUAGUAAUCCAACCAGAAAUUGAAUCAUGAACCUUGUCAAUCUAAUGUGGAUGGGCCACCAAUGGCAACCUGCUCAAAAACACUGUCUUCGAGAAUUACUGGUGACUUCCACAAUAUUUCAGUCUUCAUGCCAGAAUGUCUGUCGGGGUGUGUAUUGGUCCUGUGGUCAUUAUUGCUUUUCAUUUUUCAGGAUUACAGCAAUGGAACUGUGGGUGUGAGGAUUAUCUGUGUGCUUUUGAUUACCACACCCUCACCCUCCAAAUAUUACGCAUUUAUAAUUCAACUUCCGAUAGACAUUUUCAGUCUACAAUGCAUUACACAAUUUAUUCAAUCCUUACUUAUUUAGCCAACAAUCAUUUAAUUAGUGAUUCAAACAUAGUUAUGGGUGAACAAUGGCUUUGAAGAAGCAUUUGGAAGAGAGCUGUUUAUACCUCUGUACUGCAUAACUGAUGUAUUUUGAGUAAAUAGCCUCUUUUGUCACUUUAGCAGAAUGACAUAUUAUGCAGCAGCAGCAAAGGUGUUGCUUGGCAGGAUCUGUUUUCAUAUGCCGGUUUUGUGAGCAGCGACUGUGACGACAUUGUUAAACAGAAUAAAAGUGAGCUAGAAUUGAGCUGGGGAGUUCAUUGUUUUGUCCACAGACUGAAAGAUCUGAAUGAGUCAUGUAUACAUUGUAGCAUUUGUUAACUGAUCUCUUAAUUUAUAUUCUUUCAUAAGCAGCUCUUACUGCUAAGGAAAUGUUUAAACCAGGAGUGUUUGAGCCUAACAAAUUCAACUAUUGGCAGGAUCUAUGACGGGAAAUACAGCUUAUGUUAUCCCAGGAAAAAAUGGCACUCCCAAGGAGCAAGAGCAGUUUCUCAGACUUGAAUAUUUAAAUGGAUUUCUUAAAACAGCCAUAGGUCCUAUACUUUUUUGUGCAUUUCAGCUGGCGUUCGUCUCUCCACGUUCAAGAUUUUGGAAGGAAUAUCAAAGGAGCAGUUGCAAAGAACCAUGAAUAUGUUGCCUGCGAUGAAACAUUCUUUACCCAUGGUACACUGUGUGAAGAGAAAGCGAAGGGGUGCAGGACAAAUUUCCACCCCCACAUCCCUCCAAUUUCAGCAAAGGAAAAAAUGAAAGGCAAUUCCCCACAGGACUCCUGGGAGGGAACAUGCUUGGGUAAUUAAGCGUCGCGGCGCACAGCCCCAGUCAAGGCAAUUACCACAAAUCAUACACUCUCACCAGCUCUAAUUAUUGAAAAUCUGUCUACUUUGUUGACAGACAAGACUCGUUUUCCCUAUAGCACACUUACAACAAUAACAAUUAUGUCACGUACUAUUACAUAUAUUACCUAUUUAGCCAAAAUGGAUGGCUGUACUAAAGCCAUUUUAGAAGGACCACAGGAAAGACAUUUUACUCAUCCUAAUAUGUACUCUGUAAGAUAUUCGCACUAGAAAUGACAAAACUACUGUAACAUUGCACACUUGUGUCGUAUCAUCUUUAUUUCUGCUUGUCUGAUGAUACCAAUGAUUUUACCAUUUUUCAAAACUAAUUGAAGUCAAUUAUGGGUCAUGAAUAAUUUGGGACACUCCUCUAAGAGUGGAAGGGGCGAUGUGGGCUUUGACAGGUUAUCCAGAGGACAGAACAGCUCAGCAUUUCAUUCAUUCGGCCCGGUUCUCUGCUGACAGCCCCUCAUCCCCUGCCAGUCUUUAAAUGUGAAAUCAAUGGGAGCAGAUCUAAUCAGCAAUAUCUUCUCUUGUUCCCAGAGACUGAGGAGGGGGUCAGUCACUUUGGUUUCUGUAAGUCACGCUCCUAAUCAGCUCUGCUCAGUGCCGGGGUGCCCAGGGAGAGCCAAAAGUAAUGAAUUAAGGGGAUGAAUGAACAGCCAUUUAAGGUACAUCCACCAUGUUCCCCAAGGUCAGGCUUAUUCAAUGGGAACCCAAUCGAGUUAGACAGUAAAGGCAGUGUGCUACCUUAAGGGCAUGGUUAUUAUCAGUGAACACUAUUGAAUUAAAAAACACCUGCAUCCUUGUUUGAUUCCCAUUGCGUGGACAGGAAUAUGAGUUUAACACCUGAUUAUUUUGCCAUGGGGCAUCUAUUUUGUUUAUUUAUUUUUAAUCACCUUUAAUUACCUUUGGGCUACAAGCCCAGCUCCAGGAGCCUAGCUCUUUAAUCACUGCAACAUACACGUGCCAAAAAUGUGUAAGUUGGAUAUGUAAAUACAGUGUCGAGAUUGUGCACAAUUAACUUAUGAUGCUGAGAAUUCCUCAGUCUUAAAAAGAUGUUAUAUUUUCAAAUGCACACAUAUGUUAAGGUACAUGCUUUGACCCACUACAAAUUUAUUGGGUUCUUGCUUGUUUAUUAAUCAGUGACAGCAAGGUGAUUUGCUAUGGGACAUGAUCAGCAAUACGUAGCUCAGAAACUGCACCACAUCCAAUUCUGAAGGUUCAUCUGGGGUUGUGAAACAUUGCACCUCUCUUCUGACAAUAGCUUUUCAAUAAAGAACACAGAACAAUAGCUUUUCAAGACAGAACACUUGUCAGAAUUAAUCAAAAGACAGCGAGAGCUCUCUUUUAAUUCAAUGUUUUUUUACAUUCAAUUAAUCCUCAUACGCAAAAUGUUAGAUUCCAGCCAAAGUGUACCAGCCAAAAUAACACAGAGAAUGUUUAUUUGCUGAUGUAAUUGAUAACACCUCAUUGCAUCUUUCUCAUUCAAGGAAACUGUAGCAUUAAUCAUGCUUGCAUUGUUUUUUUUUUUUUGUUUUUUUGCAAACUGCAUAGAUCAUCAGAAAUAUUUCUCUUAAUAUAAAUUAUCAGAUCAUCAGAUAUAUUGUCUGUGAAAGACUGCUCUUCUUACCGUAGUCUAUCUAGAAUAUAUAUAGAAUAAUAUUGCUGCGUUAAUUGAGUGCCAGGCUUAAUUGAAAUGGCACAAGAGCAGAUCUGAACACUGCUUUUCUUUGACACAGAACUCCUCUCUGCAUACUGUGCUUCAUGGCCAUUAGUGUAGAAUGAAAAACAUUCAUUCAAACAGGAGGGCAUAAUUUAACUCUGCUUUAAUAAUGCAUCAUGAUUCAAUGCUGGAUCCAUUAUUUCUACCAAGAGUCCAACUGGAGGUAGAAAGAGCUGGUUUGAUACAAGGCUCUUUCCCUACAAUCUUGCGUAAAUGCAUAAAUGAAUGCAGGGACAAGCUCCAUUAUUUUGAAAGAGUCUCUGGUAUUCAAAGGGACAGAGUAGCCCAUUAUAGCUAAUAUAUUUUUUAAUAGGAAAAACAUAUUUGAUCCAAACUAAUUUCCCCUUCACAGCCUGGCUUCUAAAGUAAUCCAUUACCUCUAUGAGUCAGUAGCAGGAGGAGCAAGUUGCUAAUGACCCUUACCUUCAGAGCAAAGAAUUGUCCUGUCACUCUCUAUACAAUACUGACUCCAGAACAAUGGCAGCCAAUUGUUCCAUCGUCUUUGUAUGCGCUAACCCAAGCAGGGCCUUAUACAAAAUAAAUGGGCAAUGUAACUUGAACUUGGGGCAGCCACACCACCUUGAAGCAACCGUCAAUUUAGUCAUUAAUGUUAAGGAGAGUUGGAGUGAAGGGAUCAUUCCAGGAAAGAAACAUAAAAUCCAUAUAUAGAUAUAGAUGCAAUUUUCAUACCAUAUUCUACAGAUAUUGGUAGAGUUUUUUGUCUUUGGUAAUGGAAAAAAUUAUUUCCAAAUGGUAAUGAUUUUUUGAUGCUGCAAAUGGAAGAUCUCCAUUGUAGUGUGGGUUUGUGGGUUUAAGUUAUUAUAUUUCAGAGUGCGCACAAGCAUUACAAUUCAUCCUGACAUUUAAAACAUAUAUAUUUCCAAUUUCUGUAUAGCAAUUAGGUGCACUCUACAUGAAGAAGCUGCCACCAUUUCUGAAUAACAAGUCACAGUACCCGAUGUUCACGCUCCAUACUGUCUGAUGGAGGAGCAGAUAGACAGAGCUCAGCAGCCUGCUGAGCUCCUGCCACAUAAUCAUUUGUUCCCACACACCACUCCUUUUUCACCUUUUAUGAAACAUGAAAUUAAAUCUCCUUAUGGAGACCAGUCAGCACACCAAGCAGUGUUCCAUCUCCUGAUAAUCUCUUGCACAGCAAACAUGCUGGACGUUGUCAGCUAAGGGGUGUCUAGUCUUUCAGUAGAUAAUUAUGUUGGUAAAAUUAAAUUUGGCCCGACACAUAUGUCCCAAGCACCCAAGGAAGUUUAGUUUCAAUUUUGAUGUGACCCAUGAGAUAAGUUCAUGUAUAAUAUUGUUUCUUGUAUAAGAUUGUUACAUGCUGUAAAGUAGUUUGAGCAUUUUCAUUCUGAUUAUUUUCCACAGUCAGCACUGUGUAAUUCAGAUUAUUUGUUAUCUAUGUGCAUACUGAUAAGCAUCCCCCCUACUUUACUGUAUAAAAUGUUCACUGCUCGCUGCAUGGUCUGGGCAUAAGCAGAGUAUUGGACAAAUUUUACAAGAACGGUACUAUUUUCAUUGGUCCAUUUUAUUAAACUGAAAGCCAAGCUAUUACACCAACUGUAUCUUCACAUUUUAUAGGACUGAGAGUGGCUGGGGAAAUGGGGACACAGAUGACAGCCUGUGAAAAUGAAAGGAUGGAUUUUGGAGAGAUAGCCGUGGUCCUAGAUCACACAGUGAAAAGGGCACAUGGACGUCUCAUAUUAUGACCAUAUUAAUUCCUUGAAAACAGGACUUUAUUGGCAGAUUGAGCUUUUAAUUUUGAAGAGCAGAGACUGCAUUCAUGUCUGACUUUUGACUGCUUGCCAAAGCCUGCAUAUUCAUUCCUAAGUUUUUGAAAUUCAAAAUGCUGCUUGUGCGUUUACAACUCACAUAAAAUCAAUAGUUCAAUGAUGGAAUAAAUAUAAUGGGAAACACACAAAAAAACUGACUUUCGGAUGCAUUUUCAAUGUUUAUUAUAUGUGUACAGUAAGCCAAAAUAGCCUAUUAUCUGUUAGGUUAAAGGUCUAAACAUAAAUUGAGUAUUUAUUAAAUAGAAUUAAUAAAUGUAUAUUUGCACAUCUUUAUAUGACAAGAUAUAAACACCUUCUUCCUUCGUGUCACACGUGCCACUGUUCUGUUUAUAACCAAUAUCAGUUCUGUAUCAAAAGCGCUAACAAAUAAUUUAGACAACCAGAUUUACAUUGCCUCUUCUCCUUCAACAUACAUCACUGGAUCUAAGACUAUUAAAAAGAUAAAAUUUAUGAUUGUUGAAGGUAUUUUAUAAAUUCAUAAAUGUAGUUUGCAAGUAGCAGUAAAUCCUUGUGGUUAACUGAGUUUUUGUUUAUAUGCUCUAUUACUCUUUUUUUGAGGUUAUAAGCGUGUUGCUCAUUCUUAACACAGGGUGAGUAGGAAAGGAAAGGCAUGAAUACUCCCAAUAUCUUUUUAAUGCGCACAGAGUAAGCCUUUCAAUCAAGGCUGAUGGUGAAAGAAAAAGCACCCAGUAACAGUAAGACAAAACAGGCAGCACAUUAUAAAUUGACAAAAUAAUACAUUUUGUGUUGAAUAGUCUGUGCAGUACAAUGCUAUGUGCUAUGGCAAUAUUUGUAAAGAAUGUGCUAACUGCAUUUAACAUAGCUUUGAGUUACUUGCUCUAAAUUUGUAUGUGUAUUUAUGAAUUCAUUAUUAUUACAUUUUUUUAUUUAUGGUGCUGGACACCGUGGAAGACUAGUGAUUUUGUUGUUGUAACAGUUCCGUGACAACAAGUCAUAGUCUACCUCAAUGACCAGAGCCCUCUCACCAAACUGUGGAAAAGUCCAGGAAGACAUCCUGCUUCCCUCAAAAGAAGACAUUUACCUCUUUCAGGUUGCCCAUAUUGCUUUUUGCUACAUCUGUUCACAUCAAAAAGCAAACUGGAUUGCAUCUGAAGGACCACAAGCAGCAGAAGAUCGAUGACAACAGAAAAAAAAGAUUUUAUGGCUUUUGUGGGCACUUGGUUAGUGUCCUUAUUGUUCACUGCAUUAAAUAAAUUAAAAGAUAUGUUUUGCUCUUUG